GUCUCAUUCACAGCAAUAGUACCGUUAGGCGAGAGAGAAAUUUUAGGGUUUUGGUGCGCCUAUAUAAUCCUCGCAGCGAACAGGGCAUUGCAGCACCGAUUCAGAAAUCUUCACCCUUCUAGGGAAACUAGUUUCUAGCGUUUAGUUUCCUUCAAUUUUUGUGAAGUAUUAUGUCUGCACGGUGCCUCCCGGGCAUCUCUGAAUCCACAUGACGUGAACGCCCCGAAGCACGUGCGAAAUCGUUGCCGUUCGUGUUGCAGUUCAUCCCCAAUUUUCCACGGUUGAUCUGUGUCAAAGUAACGGCGAAAUUUCUCUUUUCAAUUCUCUCUCUUUUUUACGAUUGUUGUGUUGAAUGCUCAAUUUGCCUUGCUAUACCUUCAGCUUCUUUUCGAACACGUGUUCUCUGAAUUCGAAGCUAGUCCUAAAGGCGCAAAUCGAAACGCGGUCGUUUUUACUUGAUUGCUGAUGAUGAUUUAAUCCAACUUUAUGAGAUGCUGUGGAGCCAAGACCCUGUUUUCAGGGAGAACCUACUUGGUGAAGCUUCGUUCAUAUGAUAUCUUCGGAUUUUGCUGAGGCAUUUUACUAUGAGAAUGGAAUGAACUUUAUAUUUUCCUUUUUUGUUUCUUAUAUUGUAAAUAAAAUUUUAUAAGUUCUUAGAAAUAACAAAAAUAUACGUGGGCUGAUUUGAUUCUGAAUUUGAUAAAUUUAUAUUGAGUGUCACUAAAACGUAGUAAUAAAUAUUGGUGUCUUGUAAAAUUUGAGUACAGUGACCAAUGAUUUUCCAAUCCAACUUGCUAGAGGUUGUAGUUGAUCCAAGACCCUGCUUCAGGGAGAACCUACUUGGUGUUACUACAUUUCCUAUGACAGCAACUAUUUAUCUGAGGUUG